CAUCUAAAGGAAAAAGAUCACAGCACCAAUUUUGAUAACCUCGAGAUUUUACAUAAAGAAACAAACUACCACAAAAUAACCCUGUUAGAGCAAUACGAGAUAUUGAGAAAAAAGAAUGACUCGAACCUCCUAAAUGACAUAUCAGAUUUCCGAACAUCCAAGAACAUUUUUAAGCUGAUAACUCCCUGCAUUUAAUUUAAAUUUACCCGCCAAACCUUGACACUCCUUUCCUUACCGUAAUCUCGCACCUCUGUUUCCGUUCAAACAUCUUUCUGGUUUCUAGACUGAAUGCCUGCUCCAAAAAAUACAUUAAAUAUCGCCAACAAAUUGGAAUUAAGGAUCAAUUGUCUUUUUAAUUAUGAACAGGAAUUUUUCAUGGUUGUUACUUCAACUGAAUUACUAAACGCUGGCCUGAUGAUGGUUCCACUGUAAACCGAAAUCGAUCGCCGAAGUAUAAAUAUAUAAAUCA